rnacentral:rRNA from 1 species
AUUGAACGCUGGCGGCAUGCCUUACACAUGCAAGUCGAACGGUAACAGGUUAAGCUGACGAGUGGCGAACGGGUGAGUAAUGUAUCGGAACGUGCCUAGUCGUGGGGGAUAACGUAGCGAAAGCUACGCUAAUACCGCAUACGAUCCAUGGAUGAAAGCGGGGGACCUUCGGGCCUCGCGCGAUUAGAGCGGCCGAUAUCAGAUUAGGUAGUUGGUGGGGUAAAGGCCCACCAAGCCGACGAUCUGUAGCUGGUCUGAGAGGACGACCAGCCACACUGGGACUGAGACACGGCCCAGACUCCUACGGGAGGCAGCAGUGGGGAAUUUUGGACAAUGGGCGCAAGCCUGAUCCAGCAAUGCCGCGUGCAGGAUGAAGGCCUUCGGGUUGUAAACUGCUUUUGUACGGAGCGAAAAGGCUCUCUCUAAUACAGGGGGCUCAUGACGGUACCGUAAGAAUAAGCACCGGCUAACUACGUG